GUGCGAGCCGUGCAUGGGAGCAGGCGAUUUCAGGGGGUCCAGAGGCGAUUUUUUUUUUCAUGUUUGUUUGCUUUUACUUCCCAGAAGUCAGAUAAAUUCUCGUCGGUGCGGCUCGCCGGUGGCUGUGCUCUCAGCAGGAUCCUGUUGGAGCUUCAUCUGGAAUGAUUCUGGAGGUGUUGACUGCAGGGAAGAAGUUACAGUUUCCCACGUAUUACAACUGACAGUUCCUUCGAUUCUGGGAGAUUUCCAGCAACUCCACUAAACUCCCAAAGCACAGCUGUGAAUGCACGUGGGGUUGCACUUCUUGAGAGUAGAUCUUUUUGCCUUCAUCACCUGAGAGUUUCCAUGUUCUGCUCUCCAUAAAAACCUUCCAUCUGAACAUGAUGGACCAUGGGACACGAAUUAAAAGAUGAGAGAUGACAGCAAAGCACAAGUUUCCAUUUGUGGCCAGCUAUUUUGUGAAGACGUGACAGCAACCAGGUGUGAAGAUCUUGCAGGAGAUGAGGGGAAACCAAGCCAGUGCAAGGAGAUUUGUUAGAAUGUGAAUGGGAGCACAGCAGGGUAAGUGCUAUUAAUAGGAUUUACACAGAUUAGUAAACUAAUCUGUGCAUUUCAGAUUGGAUUUCAUAUUAUGGAAAAGAAAAUUAAGCCGCAUACCACACAGACUUUCCAGGCAGUGAUUUGUGAGUGUGAUCUAUUUGCUGGUAGAAGUGGCUGCUC